GAUCGGCGAGACCUUGUAACAUGUGGAUCAGCUGCUGGAAUUGCUGCUGCCUUUCGUGCCCCAGUUGGUGGUGUGCUAUUUGCUCUUGAAGAAAUGGCGUCUUGGUGGAGAAGUGCCCUUCUAUGGAGAGCUUUCUUCACAACAGCAGUAGUUGCAAUAGUGCUUCGGGCUCUGAUUGAUUUGUGUUUGAGCGGAAAAUGCGGUCUAUUUGGUACAGGGGGGCUCAUAAUGUUUGAUGUCUAUUCAGCAAAUAUUACAUAUCACCUCAUUGAUGUGCCACCUGUGCUUCUCCUAGGAGUGGUAGGGGGCAUAUUGGGAAGUUUGUAUAACUUUCUUUUAGAUAAGGUUCUUCGAAUUUACAACCUCAUUAAUGAGAAAGGCAUUGUUUACAGAAUUUUUCUUGCUUGUUCAAUCUCUAUAUUCACAUCCUCUCUUCUUUUUGGAUUACCUUGGCUGGCAUCAUGCCAACCUUGUCCAGCUGAUGCAUCAGAAGCCUGUCCAACAAUAGGCAGGUCUGGCAACUACAAGAAAUUUCAAUGUCAACCUGGUCAUUACAAUGAUCUUGCUAGCCUCAUUUUUAACACAAAUGAUGAUGCUAUUAGAAAUCUUUUCAGCAGGGACACUGAUGCUGAGUUUCAAUAUUCAUCAAUUCUCAUAUUUUUCAUAACAUGCUUUUUUCUUAGUAUCUUUAGCUAUGGAAUUGUUGCUCCUGCUGGUCUUUUCGUACCAGUUAUCGUGACAGGUGCAUCUUAUGGGCGUUUUGUUGGGAUGGUAGUCAGUUCAAAAUCCAGUCUUAAUCAUGGCCUCUAUGCUGUGUUGGGUGCUGCUUCAUUUCUUGGUGGAUCUAUGAGGAUGACAGUUUCUUUAUGUGUCAUUGUCCUAGAAUUGACCAAUAAUCUGUUGCUACUACCCCG
rnacentral:misc_RNA from 1 species